AAAAAGUCAAGAACCACUGAAUUUCCUGGUCUUGAACAGCUCUUCCAGCUCUGAUGGUCUGUAAUUCAGUGGGACACAAAGCUUUAGUGUAGUUGGUUUUGCUCUCGACCAGGGAUUGGUUGAGAGCAAAACCAGAGGGUCUCUGGUCCCUCCACCAGGGACCUAGAAGGCUUUUGGUGCCAUUCCAAAUGAAAGCACCAAGGAGUGAUAGGAAGUGUCCUAAAUCCAGAAUCUGAUAUUUAUCAGAAUCUGAUAACUCUGUCUCUACCAUUUACCAGCUCAGUGACCCAGGACAUGUCACUUAACCUCUCUGAGCCUUGAUUUCCUCAUUUGCAAAAUGGAAAUAAUACCAUCCCACAGAGUAACUGAGAGUCUUAAAGGAGAUGACAAACGUGACUGAUUGGCUCAGGGCCUAAUCCACAGAGGGACUGUAAAUGUCCCUCUAUCUAUUUAUUCCUAUGGAUACCCUCAAGGCCUGAGAUGACACCAUCCUCAGUUUGUAGGACUUCAGCAUAAGCCAGCCAGCAUCAAGCUGCUUUCCUUCCAGUCAUAGACACACUUGCCCGCUGACUCAGUUUGGACCCAAACCACAGGGAGAGAAACCUAACACACAUGCUCUUUUGAAUCCAAACUCCUAGGAUGGGACAAAUCCUUUUCUCUUGUAGAGGCAGUCUUGCUUUUCUCAGCUGCCGAUCCGAGAUAAUUACACCUCCUUCAAAGAAUUGUCACAAUGCCAGGACAUAGGUGCUUUACAAAUGCCCUUCUCUCCUUUCAAAUCCAGAAGGCAGAGAGUGUGGGGGCCUGGAGUCUGGGAUCUGGAGUCAGAGAGAAGGGCCUUUUGGUUCUGCCCGACAGCAUCCUGGUCUCAGGGCUUGGUUUGGCCCAGUAUCAAACAAGGUUAGUAAAAUGAGGCAUCUCAUAGUUUGCAAGGAUUUAAUGAGUUGUCAUACAAGGCUUGAGCUCCUGUCUAGGGGUUGUCAGCAAGUAUUCUUAUUAUUUUUACUGUUACCCUAUCCUUACAGGAAAAGGUGGUCAGUAGACUGCCCACACCAAGUUCUUGCUGUAAAUUUCCCCUUUGCCUACCCUCUUUUGAACUGGCGCUCUACCACUUGCCAGAGGAGACCUGGCAAACGCCUUUUGGAAAGCAAGCUGGAGAAUGCAACCCAAACAAAGAGGCAGAAAGCAUAUCUAAGGCGUACAGAUGGCCGAGAAGAAGAGCAGAGCUGCAGUACACACAGCCCCUCCUCGGGUAACGAGUGAAGUUAGAGCACUCUGGAGAGCACGUGGCAGAGCAGCAACAUCUUCUCAGAGGAAUGUGUUCUUGGCAGUGACUUAGGGGGAACUCCACUCUGGUGUCAUCAUACACAGCUGAUGGGAGCGUGACCUGAUGCAAACGUUUUAUAGGGAAAUUUGUCAGUACAUGUCACAAUUUUUAAAUGCACAUGCCCUUUGAUCUAGCAAUCCCACUGCUAGGGAUGUGCUCUAUGGAUAAAAACUAAGUACACACAAAUUAGACUCAUUUGUUUGUUAUAGCAAAAAACUCUUUAAACGAAAAUAAGUAAAAGUAGAAAACAAAGAAAGAAAGCAAAUAGAGUACUCAUCUCUAAAGGCCUGGUUGAGUGAAUUACAGUACAUCCAUAUGGCCUAUUAUAAAGCUAUUAAAAAUAAUAAGUUAAAUCUAUACAUACUAAUUCAUUCAUUAAAAGAAAACUAUUUAUUGUGUGUCUGCCAUGUGCCAAAUCCUUUCCUUAGCCCUGGAGAUGUAGCACAAAAUGGGACAUGUAGGGUCUCUCUUCUCA
rnacentral:lncRNA from 1 species